GCACUUCGAAACACCAGAGGCUGCCAUGGCCCAAGGGCCACAAGAAGAAAGUAGAUGAAGACAUUCUAGACUGGCUUCAGACUAUGUUUGGAUUUCAAAAGGAUAAUGUGGCAAAUCAGAGGGAGCACUUAAUAUUGUUGCUGGCAAAUGUGCAUAUUUAGCGAUUUCAGCCUGAUCAGCAGCCCAGGUUGGAUGACACCACACUUACAGAAGUUAUUAAGAAACUUUUCAAAAACUACAAAAAAUGGUGCAACUAUUUCGGUCGCAAAAGCAGUCUUUGGUGAGUGGAGAUUUUUACUUUCUUAUUUUUUUUUAUCAUUUUUAUCAUUUUUGUUUAGAUGAAUUUGUUUUCAGGUUAAGACUUCAACUACAAAUCUAACAAUUGGGGCGUCGGCCUUCCACCAAAAGAAAAAAAUGAAAAGAACUGGCCCCUAAUUAAACCAAGAUUAGCAGAUCCAUCAUUCAAGCCUCAGAGUAGUCACAUUCUUGCUGCUAUAGAGAAUUUUUUAAAUGUGUUACAAAUUAGGUACUCUUCACCACUUUUCUGAUUGAGGAUAGGAAGUGCCAUCCAGGUGCAAUGUGGUGAUGUGGAAUUUGAAAAGAAAAUCGAUGAGAAGAUUGGCCAGUUCAUUGAUAGAGUGGAGAAACACCCGAGCAAGAAAAUUGAUGAGAAGAUUGGCCAGUUCUAGAUUGUAUUUUUUUCAUAAAAGAACUUUUUCCAAGUUUUUAGUUGUAGUAACUUUCA